CUCGAUGGUAGCUUGUAGUGGGAAAGGUUUCGCCCUUUGCUGCGUUCCUUGUGUUGCAGUUUUCCAGCCCGUUGCAAGCUAUCGCCAAA
rnacentral:antisense_RNA from 1 species